AAGUUACCUGCCACUUUCCCAAGAAACUGCAGCUCCAGCUUCUCAAUUAUUUUUUUAAUUUGUUUUUCUUUUAAACCAGAGGUACAAUUUAAACACUGUAAACAUUAAUUUAUAGGGUGAGAUGACAGCCCUGGGUCAAGCUGAAGGUUGAUUUAUCGGCUCUGUAACUUCCACAGAAGGACACAGCUCUUUCAAACUCAGCAGCUGAUUGGAUCCACACACCCUCCGGGCAGAACUUUGCCAGGAUAAUGACACAGCUAAUUGUUAUGCAACUUCAGCAUGAAGGAAAUGGUGUGAACAGAAGGUUUUAAGUGAAAAUAAUCUUUAAGAAAACAUCAAAUAAAAAUGCC